UUAGAUCUGCGUAUUCAAUUCGCAUCAAAAAAGUGAGAAGGAUUUACUGCCGUUUAGAAACACAACAUGAUGCAUAUCCGCUCUUAGUACAAAGACGUGCAAGACUUUUGCCACGAAGAGCUUCUUGCUCUCUAGGCUUGAAGGCGGCAAUCUAGCUUCUAUUGAAACAAAACGAAGGAACUUCCGGAGUGAAGGUUCAGACUUAAUGCUAAGGCAGCGAGUGAGCCGAGGAGAGGUUGAGUGAAAUCAGCAGCUAGCCUUUUCGGAAUAGGAAUGCCCGAUGUUCUUGCUCUUCUUUAGUCUUCUUA
rnacentral:lncRNA from 1 species